GACGUAGGGCGCGAGCGUUGUCCGGAUUUAUUGGGCGUAAAGAGCUCGUAGGCGGCUUGUCGCGUCGACUGUGAAAACCCGAGGCUCAACUUCGGGCUUGCAGUCGAUACGGGCAGGCUAGAGUUCGGUAGGGGAGACUGGAAUUCCUGGUGUAGCGGUGAAAUGCGCAGAUAUCAGGAGGAACACCGGUGGCGAAGGCGGGUCUCUGGGCCGAUGACUGACGCUGAGGAGCGAAAGCGUGGGGAGCGAACAGG
rnacentral:rRNA from 1 species